AUACGGAGGGGGCUAGCGUUGUUCGGAAUUACUGGGCGUAAAGCGCGCGUAGGCGGCAUGUCAAGUUGGGUGUGAAAGCCCGGGGCUCAACCCCGGAAUUGCAUUCAAAACUGGCAAGCUAGAGACCGAGAGAGGUGAGUGGAAUUUCCAGUGUAGAGGUGAAAUUCGUAGAUAUUGGAAAGAACACCAGUGGCGAAGGCGGCUCACUGGCUCGGUACUGACGCUGAGGUGCGAAAGCGUGGGUAGCAAACAGGAUUAGAUACCCCAGUAGUCC
rnacentral:rRNA from 1 species